GAGCCCAACUGAGAAAAUGAAUGGAAGUUCAACUAAGUAAGAUGUCAGCCCAACUUAAGGACUUGGGCAUCUGGCAUUUCCACAAGUCAAGAAACAGCAGAAGAUACUGGACGCGGUGGCUCACGCCUGUAAUCUCAGCACUUUGGGAAGCCAAGGUGGGCAGAUCAUGAGGUCAAGAGAUCAAGACCAUCCUGGCCAACAUGGUGAAACCCCCAUCUCUACUAAAAAUACAAAAACUACCUGGGCGUGGUGGCAUGUGCCUAUAGUUCCAGCUACUCAGGAGGCUGAGGCAGGAGAAUUGCUUGAACCUGGGAGGCAGAGGUUGCAGUGAGCCGAGAUUGUGCCGCUGUACUCCAGCCUGGGUGACAGAGUGAGACUCCAUCUCAAAAAAAAAAAAAAAGAAACAGCAGAAGAUGGACAAGAGACUCUGCCUCCCAUCUUCCCUUCACAACUCACCCUCCUUACCCCAACUACCUCCUUCCGGUGGCUUGGUUUUGAGGCCAUGUUGUAAAUUAGCUGCAAAAGAAGACCAGGGAAGACGUUUCUCCUACACCUUGCAAGCCCCCCUGUAUUUUCAGUAUUUCUGGUAAGGACCUCACCACAUGUGGUGCAGAGCAUGGUACUAUGCAGAAUGAUGUAGAGAGAAUGAAUUUUCCCUUUCCAGACA